rnacentral:lncRNA from 1 species
AACAUAAAUACUCCAAAUACUAAUGCACACAAGCAGCAACAGAGUACGAGUAUCUAUGGUGUGUACGUAUGUAUGUGUAUAAGUGCGUUAGAUGCAUUAAGUCACACAGUGAUUCUAAACAGUUGUAAAAUAUCAAUGCGUUGGUAUCUGAAGUAUCCAAUAAAAAUAUUAUAUAAUUCUUAUUUCCACAUAUAUAUGUACAGCAUAACGUCUAUACAUACAUAGUUAAGAGAUUAGAAUUAAGAAAUGUAUUGAGAAAAGAAAUUUUAAUAAAGAAGAUUGGAGUCAAACAUGAACUCUCCCAGUACAGAAGUAUUUUGAAGAGUAUUUUCUUGUCCAUUUAAAAAAUGUUACAAAUCUAACAUAUUUUCCGCGGCUCAAAAACCUACGACGAUAUGUAUGCAAGCUCAUACAGAGACAAACAUAUUUACGCUGGCUUGUAGGCGAAGUUGUUACAGUGGCAAGGGAAGUGCUAACAAUCGGCGUCCGUUCUUUUGUUUUUUUAAGCACAGCUCGGAUUUUAUACCAACAACACAAUGUUGUGACGCUUUGUCGACGCGUCAGUUCGUUCAAUAUCUUUGAAAUUUUCUUAAACUAACUCAAAAUCAGAGUCGAAUGCUUUUUUUUAUAAAUAUAUAAACUAUUUUUAGAGUUUAAUUUCAGUUUGGAUAUUUCAUAUUAUGAAAAAUUGUAAAUGAUAAGUCAGACGUGUACAAAACUAUAUAUGAGUAUUAAGUAAUAGCAAUAUUGUUCAAAUGUAAACAACCGCCAUUAAAACACACAUCAAAAAUUUAUUCAAAAUAUAUAUUCAAAAAAGAAAAGACGUGUGCGAAAAUUACAAUGGAAGAUGAAAAACUAAUAGCUCUAAUUGAAGCUAAAAAUGAGCUUUAUAACAAAAGUAGUCCAUACUACAAGCUGUAAUCCCGAAAAGAUGCUUUAUGGCAGGAAAUUGGGAAAGAAAUGAAUGCAAAUGGAGAAAUGUGCCGCUGUAGAUGGCUAACACUUCGGGAUCGAUACGGGAGGGAAGAAAGGUUAACGCCCCCUCAGGCAGCAGAUUAACAUUUUUUAAGCAGUGGCAUUUGUUCGAUUCGAUGAAGUUUUUGAAGCCACACAUUGUACCACGACCGGUUAGAUGUUCGCCAAAUUUUUGUGAAACACCAUAAGUUCAGUGCUACCUGCUGUCGCUGUUCAGGCCGAAUCGCAAUAGCCAUCACUAGCUGACGCAGUACAAUUGCUGUCACAAGGACAUGCGCACGGGGUACAAGUGCCAUCACUAUUAUGGUCCUUGUCACCAUUAAGCACUAUCUCGGUAUCGUUGCCUCCACCACCGCCUCAAAAAACCGUCACCAACUCCUUUCACGUCAACGUCGCUGCCUUCACCGUCCUGCUCUACGCAAGUGUCCACCCAAAAGGGUAGAAAACGAGUGUCAUCCACUAAUGAGGUUGACCAAAAAAUGAUGGAAGCAAUUGAGGUGUUUAAAAAUAGAUAGUCAUCCAUCUAGGAAUCCGAGCAACAACCAACCGCAAACCCGGCCAUACAAGCCUUCAAUAAUUUGAUGGUUUCUAUGUUAAAUAAAAUUAGUGAAAAGAAGCAAAGCAGGAUAAUUAAACAAAUUAUGCUAGCUGCAUUUGAAGUGCAACAGGAGCCGCAGUAGUUUAUAGGUAGAUAUAAAAUUAGAUUUAAUACAGUUAUGAAUUAUUUUUAAACUAUUAAUUUAGUUUUAUUUGUAUGUACCUGUGUUGAUUUUUGAAAAAUUA